rnacentral:rRNA from 2 species
GGGUUGUGAGGUUAAGCGACUAAGCGUACACGGUGGAUGCCCUGGCAGUCAGAGGCGAUGAAGGACGUGCUAAUCUGCGAUAAGCGUCGGUGAGGUGAUAUGAACCGUUAUAACCGGCGAUUUCCGAAUGGGGAAACCCAGUGUGUUUCGACACACUAUCAUUAACUGAAUCCAUAGGUUAAUGAGGCGAACCGGGGGAACUGAAACAUCUAAGUACCCCGAGGAAAAGAAAUCAACCGAGAUUCCCCCAGUAGCGGCGAGCGAACGGGGAGGAGCCCAGAGCCUGAAUCAGUGUGUGUGUUAGUGGAAGCGUCUGGAAAGGCGCGCGAUACAGGGUGACAGCCCCGUACACAAAAAUGCACAUACUGUGAGCUCGAUGAGUAGGGCGGGACACGUGGUAUCCUGUCUGAAUAUGGGGGGACCAUCCUCCAAGGCUAAAUACUCCUGACUGACCGAUAGUGAACCAGUACCGUGAGGGAAAGGCGAAAAGAACCCCGGCGAGGGGAGUGAAAAAGAACCUGAAACCGUGUACGUACAAGCAGUGGGAGCCUCUUAAUGGGGUGACUGCGUACCUUUUGUAUAAUGGGUCAGCGACUUAUAUUCUGUAGCAAGGUUAACCGAAUAGGGGAGCCGAAGGGAAACCGAGUCUUAACUGGGCGUUAAGUUGCAGGGUAUAGACCCGAAACCCGGUGAUCUAGCCAUGGGCAGGUUGAAGGUUGGGUAACACUAACUGGAGGACCGAACCGACUAAUGUUGAAAAAUUAGCUGAUGACUUGUGGCUGGGGGUGAAAGGCCAAUCAAACCGGGAGAUAGCUGGUUCUCCCCGAAAGCUAUUUAGGUAGCGCCUCGUGAAUUCAUCUCCGGGGGUAGAGCACUGUUUCGGCAAGGGGGUCAUCCCGACUUACCAACCCGAUGCAAACUGCGAAUACCGGAGAAUGUUAUCACGGGAGACACACGGCGGGUGCUAACGUCCGUCGUGAAGAGGGAAACAACCCAGACCGCCAGCUAAGGUCCCAAAGUCAUGGUUAAGUGGGAAACGAUGUGGGAAGGCCCAGACAGCCAGGAUGUUGGCUUAGAAGCAGCCAUCAUUUAAAGAAAGCGUAAUAGCUCACUGGUCGAGUCGGCCUGCGCGGAAGAUGUAACGGGGCUAAACCAUGCACCGAAGCUGCGGCAGCGACACUAUGUGUUGUUGGGUAGGGGAGCGUUCUGUAAGCCUGUGAAGGUGUACUGUGAGGUAUGCUGGAGGUAUCAGAAGUGCGAAUGCUGACAUAAGUAACGAUAAAGCGGGUGAAAAGCCCGCUCGCCGGAAGACCAAGGGUUCCUGUCCAACGUUAAUCGGGGCAGGGUGAGUCGACCCCUAAGGCGAGGCCGAAAGGCGUAGUCGAUGGGAAACAGGUUAAUAUUCCUGUACUUGGUGUUACUGCGAAGGGGGGACGGAGAAGGCUAUGUUGGCCGGGCGACGGUUGUCCCGGUUUAAGCGUGUAGGCUGGUUUUCCAGGCAAAUCCGGAAAAUCAAGGCUGAGGCGUGAUGACGAGGCACUACGGUGCUGAAGCGACAAAUGCCCUGCUUCCAGGAAAAGCCUCUAAGCAUCAGGUAACAUCAAAUCGUACCCCAAACCGACACAGGUGGUCAGGUAGAGAAUACCAAGGCGCUUGAGAGAACUCGGGUGAAGGAACUAGGCAAAAUGGUGCCGUAACUUCGGGAGAAGGCACGCUGAUAUGUAGGUGAAGCGACUUGCUCGUGGAGCUGAAAUCAGUCGAAGAUACCAGCUGGCUGCAACUGUUUAUUAAAAACACAGCACUGUGCAAACACGAAAGUGGACGUAUACGGUGUGACGCCUGCCCGGUGCCGGAAGGUUAAUUGAUGGGGUUAGCGGUAACGCGAAGCUCUUGAUCGAAGCCCCGGUAAACGGCGGCCGUAACUAUAACGGUCCUAAGGUAGCGAAAUUCCUUGUCGGGUAAGUUCCGACCUGCACGAAUGGCGUAAUGAUGGCCAGGCUGUCUCCACCCGAGACUCAGUGAAAUUGAACUCGCUGUGAAGAUGCAGUGUACCCGCGGCAAGACGGAAAGACCCCGUGAACCUUUACUAUAGCUUGACACUGAACAUUGAGCCUUGAUGUGUAGGAUAGGUGGGAGGCUUUGAAGUGUGGACGCCAGUCUGCAUGGAGCCGACCUUGAAAUACCACCCUUUAAUGUUUGAUGUUCUAACGUGGGCCCCUUACCGGGGUUGCGGACAGUGUCUGGUGGGUAGUUUGACUGGGGCGGUCUCCUCCUAAAGAGUAACGGAGGAGCACGAAGGUUGGCUAAUCCUGGUCGGACAUCAGGAGGUUAGUGCAAUGGCAUAAGCCAGCUUGACUGCGAGCGUGACGGCGCGAGCAGGUGCGAAAGCAGGUCAUAGUGAUCCGGUGGUUCUGAAUGGAAGGGCCAUCGCUCAACGGAUAAAAGGUACUCCGGGGAUAACAGGCUGAUACCGCCCAAGAGUUCAUAUCGACGGCGGUGUUUGGCACCUCGAUGUCGGCUCAUCACAUCCUGGGGCUGAAGUAGGUCCCAAGGGUAUGGCUGUUCGCCAUUUAAAGUGGUACGCGAGCUGGGUUUAGAACGUCGUGAGACAGUUCGGUCCCUAUCUGCCGUGGGCGCUGGAGAACUGAGGGGGGCUGCUCCUAGUACGAGAGGACCGGAGUGGACGCAUCACUGGUGUUCGGGUUGUCAUGCCAAUGGCACUGCCCGGUAGCUAAAUGCGGAAGAGAUAAGUGCUGAAAGCAUCUAAGCACGAAACUUGCCCCGAGAUGAGUUCUCCCUGACUCCUUGAGAGUCCUGAAGGAACGUUGAAGACGACGACGUUGAUAGGCCGGGUGUGUAAGCGCAGCGAUGCGUUGAGCUAACCGGUACUAAUGAACCGUGAGGCUUAACCUUACAACGCCGAAG